GGCCGUGUGGCGAAAUGGCAUCGCGUCUGACUACGAUCAAAUGCGCAUCAGGAGAUUGCAGGUUCGACCCCUGUCUCGGUCA